GAUAAAGAACGCAGCGAAAUGCGAUAAGUAAUGUGAAUUGCAGAAUUCCGUGAAUCAUCGAAUCUUUGAACGCACAUUGCGCCCCCUGGCAUUCCGGGGGGCAUGCCUGUCCGAGCGUCAUUUCUGCCCUCAAGCACGGCUUGUGUGUUGGGUGUGGUCCCCCCGGGGACCUGCCCGAAAGGCAGCGGCGACGUCCGUCUGGUCCUCGAGCGUAUGGGGCUCUGUCACUCGCUCGGGAAGGACCUGCGGGGGUUGGUCACCACUAUAUUUUACCACGGUUGACCUCGGAUCAGGUAGGAGUUACCCGCUGAACUUAAGCAUAUCAAUAAGCGGAGGA
rnacentral:misc_RNA from 1 species